UCUCUAUACGAACUGCACUCUACUGCUCCCUGCCCGGGGCGCUAGUGCAGUUCCUCCGAGACCUGGGAGCGUGAGCUGCGUCCUCGACCGCCCUUUAUCCCCCCCGCCCUUUGGAUUCUCCCGACCUCGAUGGCCCAAUGGAACGGCGCCUUUCCCGGACUCCACGCCCCUCUGCGUCCUUCUCCAGGCCCUGGAAACAGUGGUUUCCGGUUCUUCCCUGUCCGCUCCGUGCGAAGGUUUUGGACCUCGAAUACAGCCGUGACUCCCUCUCCUCGGUUGAAAUCCUCACUACGUCAUUAGCUCGGUGAGAGCACAGGUCUUUUCCAACGCGUUCUCUGCCGUCCCCCCUAAAACAGCGGGGCAUCGUCACACCUAAGGGCUCCUGCGCCCAUGAAUCUACAGCCUAGGCUGGAAUGACAGAAAAUAAGACCUGUAGUUUCUUUGUAAGCAAAAUAAAUGUUCUGAAUGGUAA